AUUGCAGGCAGGGCUGGGAAGGCAAUCACAGCUGCAGAAGGCUCAUUCUGCCUGUGGAUGUGAAGCCGGGGUGAGAUGGCAUCUUCAGGGAGCCAAAUGGAAUUAGGAACCAGAACUGUAUGAGAGUCAAGCAGCCUUCGAGGUCCUGUAAGAAAAUGCCAGCAUUGGUAAGAAGAUCUCCUCUCUUUCUCCAACAGGUAUUAGCCAAGGGGUAGCUGUUUAGUGCCUCAAGUAAAAGGCAUUCUGGUCUGCUUCCUUCCUUAAAUUCAUGCAGCAAUUUUGUUUGGAUUCAGUAUGUUUGCUCCCCCUACUGAGCUGUGCCACGUGCUCUGUGUAUGUCUUCCAACAGUUCCCCAGCUACCUUUCCUACGUUGCCUGAAUUUCCCUAGUGAGUAAAAUGAUUCCUAUGUUCGGUAGCCUGUAAAGCACUUAGAAAUCUUUCAGAUGAAAGGCCCUCAUCGAAAAGUGUAUAAUAAGAUUUCAUUAUUGUAUCAUUUAUUCUCAUUAUCGCUAAUAGCUGUGGUUGUAUAAAAUGUUCUUCCUGCGAUAAGAACGGACUAUCUAGCAAACACCCCAGCCCACAGCAGCUAAGGACAAAGAAGGCAUCAGGGAAUAGGUGUCCAGAGUUCACUCAGCUGUUUGCAGCUCCCCAUACAUCCUCUCCGCUGCUUUGAAGAUUUUAAUUAAAACCUACAGAAUGGUGUUUCAGGACCUGGAAGAGAUCCAGAGGUAUAAAGGACAACAGGCAAACUGCGAGCUUCCAUUCAUCACAGAUAUUAGGCUUUUCAGAACUGAAAUGCACAAGGUGCUCACUCAGGAAGCUGGAGCCUGGGCAGAGCGGAGGUGUGGGGGCACACAGUACGCUCAGCAAGGAAAAGGGGAAGGUUUGCGUAAGGCAGGCUCUGUUUUCAGGGCACAGGUUGCCUAUGGGCUCCGCAAUGAGCAAACAGGCAACCUGUAGGUGUGUUGGAGAUGGCAGACAGUGUUUCAGUGAGAAUUUGGGGGUGUAUGAAAAAUAAGAUUGUGGAUUUAGCAGCUGAAAUAGACCAGAAAGAAAAGAGGAGUGAAAGAAAAUUAAAAGCACUGCUAAUACAAGAAGCAGUGUCUGAAGCUGUAGAACUCACUGCCCUAAACAAAUAUAUGAAGAGUAGGAUUUAUAAGCAAGAGAUACAAGGAACAGCUGGCUGAAUGGUUUUUGAAUGGGUAAAGGAAAGUAUUUACAAUGUUGGCCAAGCAACUUGACAGGCAUGAGGAGCUGUGUCAUCAUUCAGGCAAGAAAUAAAAGAGGUGACAGCUGUAAGAUACCUCUCCGUUUAGAGAGACUGAGAAUGAGGGAUUUCUGCACCAUUCCUGCCCUUCCCCUGUGUGCUCCAGAUGCUGUAACUUCAGUGACUUGUAUUUCUGUUCAGACACUCAUAGCCUUACACACAUCAAACAGUGCAGUGGCAAAGCAGAGAGCUUCUUCAUCCAGGGCCUGGAGAAAGCAGGUGGGCAGGAUUGCAUCUCAGACCUCUGUCGUUCCAGGGUGGUGAAGACCAGGAAGAAAGCAGUUCAGGCUGGAUUUGAUGCUGGAGCCUGGGGACCCUUCAGGCAGCUGCAAUGAUCUGAGAUAGUUCAGUACAACAGAGAAGCCAGUCUUCAGACUGAAGGGGAAGGAGGAGACAGUUGAGAUCCGACAGCACAUCCAAGGGAAAAACAAACAGAUCAGAGUGGCUCUGCAACACACCAUAUUUAGUGAGAUCAACAGGAAAAAUAAUAUCCAGCUUCUCUAGUUGCUGAAAAUUAAAUGACUGCAAAGAGCAUGAGCUGUGUUUUCAUUCCAGACCAUGGUAUCUCCAAAUGAAUGGGGAAACCAUCAAGCUUAUGCUUGGGUGAUGCAGGAAUUUCUUGUCGAUUCUCCCUCUCCAGAAUGAUUCAAAAAAGACCCAUUUUCAGUGCUUAGCUCCAGUUCCAACAUCCAGACGAAAGGCACCAUUAAUGGGACAUCUCCAAUUAGUCAGAAGAGAUCUGGUCUCCAGGGACUUGGAUAAAGAGAAGGACGCUUUGCUCAGCUCUGAGCUGGCAGGUGUCCGCUUUCCAGGGCGACAGAUCCAAGUACCUCAACGGGAAUUUUAGAUAACACUCUCAAGAUGUUGCCAGAGCUGCUCAUCAGAACUGCUCUGAUUGACUAGCAUUACUGAACAGCAGCUAUUUUGUCCCUUUGAUCACGGCUGGUCCUCAAGUCAUGGACGAAUUAAAUAUUGAAUAGGCUGUGUGACGGCUCAGGACAGCUGUUGUGUCAAAGCAGCCCUGAAGGCCUCCGUGCAGUCAGCAGGCACAGGGUCACAGCAAUGGGGAGAGCCAGCAGCAUCCUUGGCUGGUCUCCAGAGAAGAGCUGAAGCCACAGACUCAGCAGUUGGAGGAAGAGUGACCUUGCAGCCCAAAGGGUGGAUCUGAGCAGAACUGGAGGAUUUUAAACCCAGGAUUUGUGCUUUUCCAGAAUGCAGAAUGUUAUUCUCUGGACUGAUACCACACUGCCAAAGGGGGUUCAUGCAAGUCUGACCAAGUAUUUUUUCCACUGUGUAUGGCUCCUGGGCCAUGUGAAUACAGGUCCAUCAGAAACAACUCAGAAGCUGCAAGGCACAGAAGAGCUACCACAGUGACCAAUUCCCUACUCACACGUGAAGAAAUGCUGCACUGCACAAGCAAAAACACUCUGUGCUUUGUGCAUGCAAGGAAUUGUCUUGCUUAUACUGCUAACUGCACCAUAUGCACACUGUAGGCUGGAAAUGUCUGGUACUGAACCUGAGACGUUGAGCCUCGGGGUGCCAAACACUAGAGAAGUCCAAGGAAAGUACUGGCACAGGUGGAGCUAGGGAGGAUUUGUGAAUCUGAAGGCGCCCUGAAAUCCCUCUGGUAGCUGCUAUUUGACAGCUCUGUGAUUCUGAAUAUGGUUUUCUGGCUAACCCUCAAAAAUCGCACAAAUGACAGUGACUUUGGUUACAGCACAGCAGCACUUUAAUUGCAACAAGGGCCCCUGCUAAUUUAGCAGAAACCCUUUUAGCUCAGAUAACUGCUCCGCUAAUGAAAUCAGAGCCAUCACCACUUCUGGCUCCCCAUGGUAAAACCUCUGUCCUUUCCAGGGAGUGAAUCUCACCAUAGCUUCAGACAGAAGUUUUAAUGGGCUUUAGCAGCCUUUGAGGGAAAGUGCUUGAAGGACAAAAUAAAUCAUCUCUCUUGCCGUGCUGUCAUAAAACCCCCCUUCCCCUUAAUAUUCUUUUUGCAUCACCUUCCAGUUCUGCCACCAUCACGUCUACAAACCUUAGACUUAACUUGAAAGAGAAGAUCUACCCAAGUGGAACAAUAAAGACCCCCAAAGUUUCCAUACUUCAUAUCUAAGAUUUAGGAAAGCAGAACAGCCCCACAAAUCUAAAGACAAACUCAUUGUAGGUCCUUAUACAGUGGGGAAACUGCUCCAACAGCUCUUCAGAGGGCACAGUUAGCAAAACCUGCUCCCUUUCUUCAUCUUAAAGCUCUCUGCUGCCUGGGGGGACACUCUGUGGCUUAUUUGGAGUUGGCUUUAGCAAAAGUUGCAGUCUUUUAUGACUGGAGGAUCUCCAGCCAGUGCAGACAGCACAGACAGCUGUUGAACAGCGCUCUGCAGGUGUGCUCCCCAGGAUAAGUCCAUGGAAGGAACUAGCUGGGUUGUUCCUGCACCUCAAGUAGUGCAAGGCAGAGGAAAAUGUGCAGAUAUUCCCAGCACUCCAUGCCAGACUGUAAAAAAAUCCAAGAAGAAGGCAGCAAAGGCACCUCUGCAUCCCAGCUUUUCUUCCACUAACAACAACAGCUAAACUGGAUCGCAAAUGUUGAUUCGUAUUUCCAAACACUUUCUAACCAUUGCAAAGAACAAGUGCUUAAGGGGUUGGCUGUAUUUAUGCUUUUGCUUGUCUUUAAUAAAAGCUGUAUUUAUAAUGCAUGAUUAAUUAUUUUGCACAAGCCUCCCUUUUAUGGGAACGUGUGAAAUUUAAGCGAUUUUUAAUACCACCUCGCAGACAUCACUCCUUCUUCCCACCCCCAUUACCAUUAAUCCACGUUGUAGAAAGAUGUAACAUUUGUCACUGGUUUAUUAUGAAGUGCAAUGUUGUGAGUUAUUUAUGAGCUUGCUAUUUAUCGAAAUACUUGCGGGUAGUUUUAGCACUCCAACUCCAGGGUGAAAAUGAGCCAGGCUUUACCCACUGCCUGGCACAACCCACUCCUGUUUAACCACUUCACUGCCGCUCUCUGGCUGUGCCAGGCUGUGUUUUAGGGCAGCUUCUCAGCCUUGUGACUUCCAAGUAAGCUCAAUUACCUCUUGUUCUCAUUAGGUGGAAGGGGAUACUGAGGAAUGCUCCAGAGGCCAUGGGCAGAAACAGGCCAGGAAUGGAGAUGUUUUUGAACUAUGUAUGACUGUUGGAAAGAAGGCAGCCUGGGAAUCUCACAGCACAGUGCAACUGGCACAACCACAGACCAAGGCAGUCCACUAUUCAGUGCCUAGUAACAGAUACCCAAGAAAGAGCAUUAGAACACAACAAACACGUAGCAGCCUUUCUCCAGAGUAUUCCCCCCAGCUGCCAGCAACCUGCCACACAGGAACUUCCCAGGCGAGAGCUUUGCAUCUGUCUUUAAUAGCCCUCAGGGGAUUUUUCAGCCUGGAGUAUGCCCAAUCCCUCCUCAAAUCUACGAAGGCAUUUUUGCACCAUGAUGCCCUGAUGGCAAGGAGUACCAGAGCUUAAAUUCCAUGUUGCAUAAAUAUUUCUUUUUGCUUGGUUUGACUCCACCAUUGCCUCUUACACACAGUGCCUCCCUGUGUAUCUGAAGAUGCCACUGUAACCUAAUUCCAGCAGGACAAUUCCCACCUCCACUCAACACUAAUGCUGGUGGAUCUGUAAAGCAGAUGGAGAGAAAUGCAGCUUCUCUCUUCCAGCACAAAAAAUGGAAAGUACAAGACCUGGAGUGCUUACCCUGCCCCACCAGUCCCACGAGAGCAGAUGUGAACAAGAAGAACCAAAAAUGUACUUCUGAGACCUUGUUUCUGCUCCGAACAUGCCCUGCUGUCUUUCAGCCAUACAUCUGACCUGAGCGUUCGGGGCUUAACACUUUAGGAAACUGGCCAUGCAGGAAAUCCAAGAGCAACGCUGGGUAUUGUUUCUUUUCAACAGCCCCAAUCAUAAAACACUGCAGCUGUGUAGCAGGGAGCUGCUGCAGCCAGAGCAGCAAGUCCUCGGAGGUCAGUCCCUGCUUCUUUUUCCUCAGCAUUACAUAUUCUUUCAGUAAGAGACAAAAGAGAACAGCAGCCAAUGCACAGCACUACAGCUGUUGGUGAAGGAAUACAAAUGAAUCCCCUUCAUUUGAAGUUGUAGGGAGAAAUUAAGAGCAUAUAAACAUUCCAUCUCAACAUUGGUUGAGAUGGAAAAUGAACCAAGUGGUUUCCUUGCACCAUCCAACCCAGCUCAGCACCUCCAGAGAUGCCCCUCGUCCACAGCAAGCAGGGAAGGAGCUCACGUUACUCCAUGAUAAAUGGAAGAAACUCAUGGAAGCCCACAGUGCCAACCACGUGUGCUGAGCAGAGACCCCGUGCUGAGGGCUGAACGCUCUAAAGACAGCUGUUAGCUUACAGACAGCGCUCAGCGGCACGCAGUGAGCUCAGGUCACCAGUCACACCGCUGCCAGGCACAGCUCAGCAGACCUGACAGAAAGCAGAACCCUGCUUAUACCGAGCUCAGGGAGGAGGCUUCUGCUUUUAUGUUUGCUUUUUAGCAAUUGCAGCUACCAAAGUUGUCGCUUUUCAGCGCCUGAAAUGUCUCGAUGAAAACUGUUUACAACACUUAGUGCUUUGUGCUGAGAUCACUCGCUGCAAUGAAAGCCUGCAUUUUAUUGAAAAGAGCAGACACUUUGCAGGCGGUUUUAUUUCACUCCAACACUUGGAGCUCCCUGGCACAAGGUGGGUACAGAUCCUGUCCUGGUAUGCAGAUUGCUGCCGGUAGAGAUGUGGAGGUGUGAAUUAGAAGGCCAAGAAGUGUAUUCAAAAGGUUUAGAAGCCAGCAGCAGGUGGAUCGGAGCGCAUUUCCUCUUGUUCAAUGCAUUUUUGUUCUAACCCUGCUGUGUCUGAGUUUUUCUGUUGUGUUAGCUAUAGUCAGAUUUCCCCACACCUAUUUCAGCAGGAAACACUAUUUCAUCAAAAUAAGCCAAGCUGAUUGUGAUUGAAUUUCCGUGUUUUAAGAGAAGUCUGCUGAUGGAAAGCAUUCUGUAAAAAUCAAAAUAAAUCUGGGAACUUUGAGGCUUGGCUUUUCUGUUAUGAAUAAUUUGGGGGGCGGGGAGCCACACUCCUACUGCAUUUUGAGAGCAAAGCACAGUCACCUGUAAUUUCUGAACACGGAAUGCUCCGAAAUGCUGUGGCAGGGCAUUUUGAUACAGCUCCAUGAUUGCUCCUAAAGGAAAGUGAGACAGAAAAGCACUCCCCGCCUUCAACUAGCAGACCUGUUCCACUUGAUCCGGGCAGCUCUUGGACUCCCUUCAGGAGGUCAGAUGAGAUGAAACCUUCACUCACUAACAAACAUUCUAUACUGCGCCAUGCACUAGGUUUGAGUCUGUGGAUGUGAAGUCAGAGUGAAUUCCAAGUCACCAGGGCUAGCAUACAUCUACGAAGGUAUGAAUGAAGAAAGAAGACAUUUGAUUUGGAUUCCAACAGCAUAACCUCCAGCAAAGGUCAAGCAAAGCAAGCUUUCUACAGCGAAAGUGCGACCAGCUUCUGUGCAUCACCAGAUCACAGCUCACUGCCCUAAGAGCUCAGCACUGCCAUAGCUCCGUGGUGCGGCUGAGCCAAACCAUAAGCUCCAGGGGCUCCUUGCCCAUCUCUCCAAAGCAGAGAGGUAUGACAGGACGCCGGGCAGGUUGCCACACUUCAGAGCUUCUGAGAGAUUUCCUUGCCAGCCGAGGACAGCCUGUUGUCAGGAGCUGGUCGGGCUGGGGUGAUGGGGUGAACAGCUUUGCACAGAACAAACAGGAUAAUAAACCCAUCUUAAUGCCUACAGAGGAACACAAUCUGACCUUAUCUAUAUGCAAAUUGUGGCGCCUUCUUCCUGCCCUCUGAGGGCGGCUGAGUUGGCUAUAAUGUGCCUGAUAAGAGCAGUGCAUUUGCAUUCCACCAGAUGCUGUUAGGGGCUUCUCUCUGCUUUGUUCAGGGACUUCAGUUUUAUUUAAAUAAAAUAAAAUAAAGUCAGGGAAAAAAAAAAAAAAAACAACAGCCUCUUCUGAUCAGAAAGCAGCUCUGUUUUGCUGACACCUGUUACAGAACCACCAGAAGCUCAGUAAACUUUCAGACACCAGCUCCCAUACCCAUUGUCAGCAGCAUUUGCCUCCUUGUUUUUUGCCAUCAGGCUGUAUUUGCAUGGGAAGCAGCCACUGGUGCUGAGGAAUCCAUCUGUCCCAGCUGCUCCCUCCUCACCUGAACUCAGGCAGUCCUGCUUACAAUGCUUUUGGUGCCUGUGAGUUGAAAGCAGCUGAGAAAUUAGAGACUGGAGAGAAAAAAUAAAGGAAAAGUAAAAAACUGCUGUUCUCCCAACAUGCAGCCAGCUCAGAAUGGCUCCCUGCAAAAGGCUUCAGGAACCUCAAAAGCAGUGUGCCACGCUUUUCUUUCCAAAAUCAGAGGUGAAACACAGCCAGAUCUGCCCACAUCAACUACUGUGCUCUCCAGGGCCGUGCAGAGCUCACUGCAUUCAUAAGGCAUAUGCUUAUCAAACCAGAGAAAAACUCACAUUCUCCAUAAAUCUGCACAGCUCCCCUGUCCAUCACCCAUUUCCUAAUCUCUGUGAAGCUACCCAAGGUCCUACUGAGCACCCACUGCCCUGUUCCAAAUGUCCCAAAUCAAGGUGUAACGAUGCUUGCUCCUAACUCGAGCAGUCAGCAGUUACAUGAAGUUUGGAAGAACUACCAAAUCCAUCACAUUCUGCUCCUACAGCAUCUGAUGUUUGUUUUAGAUAUUGGCCCACAGCAAUCUGGGGAAGUAAGUGAAAAGUAGGUGCAUUUUUAGGGUAAAAAAUGAACACGGUAUUUCUAUGCAAAAAGCCUUAAACUUUAGGUAGGGGCGAGAGGGAAAAAAGGGGGAGAAAUCCAUUUAAAAAUCUUUUUGCUUCUGUUCUUUUUUCCUAUUUAUGUUUUCAGUGUGGCUUUAGUGGCUCUUUAAAGA